rnacentral:rRNA from 1 species
UCCGUAGGUGGGCGCUUAAGUCAGGGGUGAAAUCCCGCGGCCCAACCGCGGAACUGCCCUUGAUAAACUGGGCGCCUUGAGUCGCUGCGGGGCAGCCGGAAUAUGUGGUGUAGCGGUGAAAUGCAUAGAUAUCACAUAGAACACCGAUCGCGGAGGCAGGCUGCCAGCGGCGCACUGACACUGAUGGACGAAAGCGUGGGGAGCGAAC